UACGUAGGGGGCAAGCGUUGUCCGGAUUUAUUGGGCGUAAAGAGCGUGUAGGCGGCCUGAAAGGUCAGCUGUGAAAACUCGAGGCUCAACCUCGAGACGCCGAUGGAAACCAUAUGGCUAGAGUCCGGAAGAGGAGAGUGGAAUUCCUGGUGUAGCGGUGAAAUGCGCAGAUAUCAGGAAGAACACCCGUGGCUAAGGCGGCUCUCUAGUACGGUACUGACGCUGAGACGCGAAAGCGUGGGGAGCGAACAGG
rnacentral:rRNA from 1 species